GUUAAUUUGUAAUAUUUAUAAAUUUUUGUGUGUGUAUACAUAUAUAUAUAUAGAGUAGGUCUUGUGUACUAUUAAGAGUAUAGACGCCUCCAUACUCCUAAAGCCGUUUUUUAUGAUGGAGCUUCCGAAUCGACGAUCUACUCUGUUAGACUUGAUCUAGCGUAUUUGAAGUAUUAAGAAAUAAAUUUUGCAAUUUUUCGAUAUCAUUUACUUAGCGAUCGGAAGGGUUCAAAAUCAAUAAUUUUUAAUUAUUGAUAUAUAUCGUUUGCAAGUUCAACGGUGUAAAAAUAUUCAAAUCAUAUAAAAUUUUAAUAGAAAUUCUUGAUACUAUUUACUGCAAAAUAAAUAUCUUUGAUUGAAAAUUUUAGUGCUAUAUCAGCACUUUUUGUGAGAUUUUUAUUUUCAGCCAUUUAUUUUGAACCCUUUUGAUUGCUAAGUAAAUGAUAUCAAAAAAUCGUAAAAUUUAUUUUCUAAAUACUUCAAAUAUGCUAGAUAAAGUCUAAUGGAGCCGAUUAUCGAUUCGAAAGCUCUAUCAUCGAAAACGGCUUAGACAUACGGAGGCCUCCGUGCUCCUAAUAGCACACAAGACCUACUUAUAUAUAUAUAUA
rnacentral:lncRNA from 1 species